UACGUAGGGCGCAAGCGUUGUCCGGAAUUAUUGGGCUUAAAGCGCGCGUAGGCGGAUGUUUAAGUGUCUUGUGAAAUCCCACGGCUCAACCGUGGAACUGCUGGGCAUACUGGACAUCUCGAGGCACUCAGGGGCGAGCGGAACAAGUGGUGGAGCGGUGAAAUGCGUAGAUAUCACUUGGAACGCCAAUGGUGGAGACAGCUCGCUGGGGGUGUCCUGACGCUGAGGCGCGAAAGCCAGGGGAGCGAACGGG
rnacentral:rRNA from 1 species